rnacentral:rRNA from 1 species
UACGUAGGGUGCGAGCGUUAAUCGGAAUUACUGGGCGUAAAGCGUGCACAGGCGGUUCGUUGUGUCCGGCGGUGAAAGCCCCGGGCUUAACCUGGGAAUGGCCGUUGAAACUGGCGAACUGGAGUGUGGCAGAGGGGGGUGGAAUUCCGCGUGUAGCAGUGAAAUGCGUAGAGAUGCGGAGGAACACUGAUGGCGAAGGCAGCCCCCUGGGCUAACACUGACGCUCAGGCACGAAAGCGUGGGGAGCAAACAGG